CAGGGGUUAAGCUGUAGAGAGCACUCCAAAGAUCAUUAUUCGGGUCCUCAUUGAGCACACCUGCUGGCAUUAAACUAAUCACUGGCGUAAUGAUAGGUUCAAUUGAACCUCCAAACUCACCUCGAAUCACUCAGGAAAUAGACUCCAUUCUGAUGUUUUCUACCGCCAAACAAGGGAGACAAAAGCUGCGGCUCUUAAUUCGCAGAUGCCUCAACUUGAAGUGGUGGAGUUGAUGAGGGACACGAGUAAAGAUCAAGACAAGUUGGCUGGACAGGAAAAAAGCGUGUUAUAAUUUUCACAAGACAAAAAUGCAACCA
rnacentral:lncRNA from 1 species